UUCAAUACCCAACCAUUCUCUACUGUUGGUCUUCCUUCCGUUACGCCAAAAAAUAAUUCCCAUAUUGAAUGUAUUAAUACCGUCACUCAGGUUUCACCAGUUUUAAAAACUCAUACAGCAUUACCUGAUUGCAACUCUUGAGAUCUCUCCGAUCAGUAAUCCAUAUCAUAGGUUUGAUUCGUUUGUAUUUUCUUCAAAAGGCGCUUCCUUUUUUCCUUCUCGGUAACUUGAAGAUUCCAAAAGUAUGAUUUCGUUGAUUUCCACAUUCAGCUUCACGAGUUACAGAAUGAGAGUAUUGAACUGUUGAGGCAUGCCCUCUACUCAGUUGUUCUUAUUGAAUUCACACAUCCCCCGGAUCUGCAAAAAUAAUUUGAAGAGUUCAAGAUACAAUAUAGGGAUCUAAGUCUUCAUGUUUGAUGGAAAUCGCAUGUGAAGGGAAACUAAUACAUUAGAUGCCCAUAAGAUGCUUAAGAAAGAUGAAUCUGUUCUGGCAUUUGAUGGCGUGACUAUAGCGAACUAUGGAACGGAGAGAUAUUUUGUAUGCUUUAACUUUUACAUAUUAUGAAGUCUCAAUUUGCUAGUGGGUCGGAAGGCACAGUUUGAGCUCAAGGCUAUGAGAUGGGAUGUUUCGCCUGGAAUGAAACAUUGGAAUGUCUCCCGCGCCUUCAAUCAGUGUUAAGCCUCUCAAUUCCUCCACCUUGAAAAUGCCUAGCCACAAGUUCUUUUUGACUGCUUUUGAAGAACUGGAGUUCUGAGACCACAUAUAUCUCACUGAUGUUGUAGGUGUUCUAACCACCCUAAUGAGUGUACAAGAAAUUAAGAGAGCAAAUGGACGACAAUCCUAUCACCGGCGACCUCAGUAUCCAAAACCUCAGGGAAGUUAUCUUUGUUAUCAGAAAAUUCCACCAAAAUCUACUCCAACAUGGACCUUCCAGAAGUUUUGGAUAUGCGACAGAGGAAUAAAAUAAAAAUUUGUGUGGCGCAACAGCCUAUUUUGGUCAGUGGUGGCUGGUACUACUGGGAAUGCAACAACUGCGCAGCGGAAGUGGUUGGAUGACCAUUGGUGUACCAAUUGUAAAACAAAGGUUGAAGAAUCCAUUCCCAGGUUCAUGUUACGGAGCUUUGCAAGAUACAAGCAGUUUUAGAAAAUAAUUAUAAAAAAAUAAUCAUAAUUGGAGGGAAAAGAAAAAUUAAGAAAUGGUGUCUCAAGUCUGGUGGUUACUAAGGCUUCGCACUUUGUAAACUAUGCUUAUCUUUCUUUCACUAAUGCAAGCAGUUUUAGAAUAACGUGAUCCGAAUUGUAUCUUUUUCCUCGUAUAUUAGCACCUUCAUAGUCACUUAUUCGUAUUCAGGUGGUUAUUAAGGUAAGGUAAUCACAUAUUUAAGUUUCUAUGUAUAUCGUCAAGGAACUCCCUCAUUAGAUGAAAACGAAUAUAUGUAGAUUACAAUCAAAUUCAGACACCGGAUAAUUACAAAAUACAUUGUCGAUCACCUGGACUGGACCUAAUAUGGAAUUAAGAGACUUGAGUUUUCAGUUAUCAAGGUCUUCAUAAGCAAUGGGGAAAUGUAGUUAAUAGGCAUUAAUUUCUCAUAGUCCAAUUCUCCUUAUUUUUCUGUAAGUUUUGGUUCUUUAACCUUUGGCUCUGUCUGUUCUGUUGCAACUUCUUUUACUCACAUAUUAUUGUU